rnacentral:rRNA from 1 species
GAUGAACGCUGGCGGCGUGCUUAACACAUGCAAGUCGAACGAAGCACUUUAUUUGAUUUCCUUCUGGCCUGUUUAUUUUGUGACUGAGUGCCGGACGGGUGAGUAACGCGUGGGUAACCUGCCUUGUACAGGGGGAUAACAGUUGGAAACGGCUGCUAAUACCGCAUAAGCGCCCGGCAUGGCAUGAUGCAGUGCGAAAAACUCCGGUGGUAUAAGAUGGACCCGCGUUGGAUUAGCUAGUUGGUGAGGUAACGGCCCACCAAGGCGACGAUCCAUAGCCGACCUGAGAGGGUGACCGGCCACAUUGGGACUGAGACACGGCCCAAACUCCUACGGGAGGCAGCAGUGGGGAAUAUUGCACAAUGGGCGAAAGCCUGAUGCAGCGACGCCGCGUGAGCGAAGAAGUAUUUCGGUAUGUAAAGCUCUAUCAGCAGGGAAGAUAAUGACGGUACCUGACUAAGAAGCACCGGCUAAAUACGUG